GAUGAAGAACGCAGCGAAAUGCGAUACGUAAUGUGAAUUGCAGAAUUCAGUGAAUCAUCGAGUCUUUGAACGCACAUUGCGCCCCCUGGUAUUCCGGGGGGCAUGCCUGUCCGAGCGUCAUUGCUGCCCUCAAGCACGGCUUGUGUGUUGGGCCUCCGUCCUCCUCCCGGGGGACGGGCCCGAAAGGCAGCGGCGGCACCGCGUCCGGUCCUCGAGCGUAUGGGGCUUUGUCACCCGCUCUUGUAGGCCCGGCCGGCGCUUGCCGACACAUCAAUCUUUUUUCCAGGUUGACCUCGGAUCAGGUAGGGAUACCCGCUGAACUUAAGCAUAUCAAUAAGCGGAGGA
rnacentral:misc_RNA from 1 species